UACACAGGAUCUUGAGCUGAGCUGAACCAGAUCUCUGAGGAUCCAUUUAGAGGGAUAUUUGAAGGCUUUGAAGAAUUCAGUGAAAAAAGGAGGCUGGAUGCUCAGCAGGAGUGCAGUGAAGCUAAGGAUUCUUCAAAAGAAAGAAGUCUGUGCACUGGCUCUGCAAAAAGGCAGGAAGGGGAAAGGCAGAAGCAAUCUCUGCUGGGUUAAGUAGACAAGGCAAGAUACAAUGUGUGGGAGGGCUAGAAGGAGAAGAAAAUAUACUUCCAGUCCCCAGUCUUGGUGGAUUAUUAAAUGUCAAAACCCUUGGCCAUCUGGUGAUGUCGUCAAAACCCACUCUUGGGGCUGCUUUGAAAGGCCCUUGCACAACAUGCUACGCUACAAAAGAGUGAGUUGGAGCUGUGUACCAUUUCUUCAAGGCAGAAGAGCUCUCAGCAGGGCAGGAUUGUGCAGCCCUGCUGCCUGCAGGGGAAUGCAAAGAGGUUUGUGCAUAAUGAUCUCCCACCAGGACUGAGGGAUUUACCAUCAACCUGCACAGUGGGCUUUGCUUGUGAUGUGCAGUCUGGCCUAUGGCCCCAACUGCCAUUAUCAGUAGGACAUUCAGGUUCAGAUGUGUUUUAAGUUCUUACCCAUUAAACCAAUGUGACUGAAGAGCGUUUACAGUGACAGCUGUCUGUCUCCUUUUUGGAGGUGCUCAUUCAUCCUUCACCACUACAAGCUGUGGCCUGUGUGUUGUGACUAACAGCAGGCAGUGGGAGGGCCUGCUUUUGUUCCUGCAUCUCUUACUGACUUUGGGAAAUCUCUCCUACUGUCUACUAAAGUUUCUCUGAAAAGUAUUUUAAACCAUUUUUUUGUUGACCAUGUUGGCAAUUAGAAGCAGACUGCAUCCCAUAUUCUGGGACUUCUUAAUGGAGAUUGCUUGUUCAAUUUUCCAAGGAACCCAGGAGUAAAUCUGGAGUGUCGUGAUUACUGCAUAAUCAUCUUGAGGUUUAACCCUACUGUCAAUAGAGACACUGCCUGAUGUCAAAGAGCUGAAGCAUAAAUUUAUCUGUGGGAAGUUCAGUAAAGAUACUUUCUAGUUCUUGCAAAAUAGCGUUAGAGCAGAUCCUCCCUGGCUAAAACACUGACUAGAAAGAGAUUUGACAUCUAAAUUAUCUAUGUGCUCAAUGUAGUUCAGGAGAAAGUCCAGCUUUUUCUGAGUUCUUAAUCUUUUUCUCAGGGAUGUUUCAAAUUACUCACUUUGCCUAAUAUUUGGGUAUAGAGCCAUUUUUAGCACCAGAGAUUUUCACCUAAGAUUAAUGCAGUGGGAUUUCAGUGUUGUCAGAGCAAAGUCCUUCAGUACCAUCUAUAUUGUACUUUUGGCUAAGGAGACUUAGAGCCAUCUGGCAACUAACGGGUGUAAGUUUGAAAGGGGACUGAGGGAGUGUUUUAGUUGUCUCGUGUUGGACACGAGAUACCAAAAGAAUUCAUGGGUCACAUUACAGGAUAUUUACCAUGAUGAUGAAUGUUCUUAUUGCUACUGCUUUUGGUGGAGGGAUUCAGCUCCCAGACUGGAGACCAAGCGUGGAGUAACAUCUGUGGCCAUAUGGCACUGUGGGCAUCUACCCACAGUGUCUUCAGGGCCCUGCCUUGGGCUUUUGCAGUGCUUUUGCAGCCCAUAGUUUUAGCACCUACAUUUCCUGAGUUUUUUGAGAAGAACUCCCUCAGGCACCUGGGAACACACCGUUCAGUCAUGUCGUGCUCUUCUUUGCUGGUGAUACUUGUCUGUUCCUUCUCUGAGUUUCCAGGGCUGGUAGCCUGGCAGCUGGUGCAUUUGGAGAGCCAACUUGUCAGAGACAGAGAACAAAAACAGAUGUUUAAGACACCCAUUGAAGACUUGCUGAUGCCUUAUGGAAUGUGGCAAAAUGUUUAAGGUGAUUACAGCCCAUGUUUCUCAGUGAUGAAUGUGGCAGAAAACUGUUGCAGAGCAGCACAGCUCAGACAGGAGCUGCUUGAUGUUACAUCCACUCCUGCUGAUGCAACUUUGCAAUUUGAAUCCUGAACAAAAUGCUGUUGUUUUACCAAGCCAUUUUCACCUCCAAAAUGACCUACAACGUCUUAGUAACCACACAGAGACACACUAGUCAGGAGUUAGAGAGUACAGAGAGGAUGAUAUACAGAGUUAGGGAGGGAGAGAGAGAAGAAAGCAGUUCCCAGGAAUCAUGUCCCCAUUGCAGUGGUUGUAAGAGGGCCACUAUGAAGGUAACACCCAUCCAGCAUUGCUUGGUGCACUUCAUUUGUGGGUCUGUAGCAGCAAAUAAAACAAAUUUGAACAUUGCUGCAGCUGCAAGGACCUCUUGUCAAGUGGAGAAGUCUGUGGUAGGCUAUUACAUAGUUCUGUGAUUAUUAGGAGGUUCUGGUGUGGAAUCACACUCAGGAGAGCUUAGGUAUGCUUAAAGCAUUAUUUGACAUAAUUAAAACAGCUUGUUUGAGAAGACUAUCUGAUCAGUCACACCUAAAAUAAUUGCCAGGAAAGUCUGGUGUGAUAAUUUGUUAGCUUAGAAAUGAUUUUCCUGGCUCCUUGCAUGGCAGGCUGCUCAAUCUACAAACCUCAGUGGGCCUGAGAAGAUUGAUUUUAAAUGAUAAAAUAAUAGAUUGAGUCUUAUUUUUAAAGGUGUCUUGCAAACAGAAAAAGACCACACAAUUCUGUGGAGUAUAUUUCUUCACAAAAUAUACAAAGAACAUAAAAGUGUUGGCUUGUUGUUUUAAUAUUUUUUCUGCUUGAUUUUUUAUUUCAGGUGAGAAUGCUAAGCCUGACAUUUCAUUAACUUUGUAGAGAUUUUGCUGAAGAGUCAGUUGUGAAAUGGGAAUUUUGUCAGAUCUGAAUGAAAAUCUUAAAAAGAUAUCAGUUCCCUUAGAGGGAAUCCUUGCUGUUUGAUAUAAAGUUUUUUAACACAAAGAAGACAAAAGUCAUUUUAACAGAUUAA